CAAUCCCUGCCCUGUUAUUCUUCGUGUCCAUGGAGAGAGAAACCAGAAACAAGUAGACACAGAACUCUAUACAAUGAUACAGAAGCAGAUACGAGGGAGCGAGAGAGUAGAGAGAGAGAGCGAGAGAGAGAGAGAGAGAGAGAUGGAGCAUCAGGAGCAAGAGCAGGAACAUGAAGUGUACGGAGGAGAUAUACCCGAUGAAGGAGAGAUGGAUGCCGAUGUCGACAUGUCUAGGGCUGAAGACGACGACCUCAACUCAACUCCAAGGUCGUGGAGGACAUGAAGAAGAGACUCAAGGAGAUUGAAGAAGAAGCAGGCGCCCUUCGCGAAAUGCAAUCCAAAGUUGAAAAGGAAAUGGGCGCCGUUCAAGGUCCUCUCUCUCUUUCUCUCUGUUCCUGAUCGAUCUUUGGUUAUGCUACUUUUGUAUCAACAACAGAGUUGGAUGAAUUGUUCAAUUAUAGUUUUUUUGGUUCUCCGCUAUGUAUUUGGUCAGUGAUUAAUAUGAAUUAGCAUUAAUGAUGUUGAGGAAAUUGAAAUUGAAAUUGAUGAUAAAUUGUUCAAUAUGCAAAGUGUUGUUAACUUACCAUUAAUGUUGCUACUACACAUUUAUUGGGUUUUGGAGGUGUGCUCAAUGUUACAAGAUUCUUAGACAGUGUAAUUAUGCCUUUAUAUAACAACUAUUGUAUAACAUGUGGUAAAAUCAAUUUUUAAAUUUUUUUUGCCAUAUUUGUUCAACAUAAUUUAUUUUAUAGUUUAAACUGUUGAAUCUAACAAUUUUCUAUUCAAUUUAAUUCACGAUUCUCAAAAUUAGAAUUUACAUCUUUUAUGACACUCGCAAUUUGACAACUAUGAGUACGUUAAGAUUACAUUAAAGAAAAUUUUAAUUCCCUCAAUAGCUUAGAUCGUAUAGUAUAUAAAUUUUAUAUAAAAAUAAGAAUUGAGCUAAAAAUAAAAGGGUCUUGUUAUGCUUUAAAAAU